AGACACUGCGAUGCACCAUAAGACUGUUCUUUAUGGGUAUUUGAAGUUUUUUUGUAUAUAAUUUAACGAAAUAUUAGCGAAAAAGCUGACGAAAAAAUAAAAAUGAAAACACAGGACACUAACUUGAUACAUGUCAAAUCAUAGGUUACUAAAAUAAGAAAGUGAAAAACCACAGAGUGAUAUUUGAAGUUUACCCUAAUUUAAAUUUAAUUUCUUUUUAU
rnacentral:lncRNA from 1 species